UUCAGCACCUCUAAGAGAGCAGACCCUUUCCUCACACUAUUUCUCCAAUUGACAUCCUGACAUACAUGAAACAUUUUCUAUUUCGCUAGAGACAAACAUAUUUUCUACCCAGGGAGGAAGUGGAGCCUGCUUCUAGAAGGGAGUGAAAAGAGUCAUCAAAAAACAGAGACCAGCAAAAGAAGAUGCAAAAAUAAUUAAAGUAUGAAACGUGCUGCCGUCUUCGCAGGAUUUCAAUUUUGCAUUGCCUAAGGGGAGAGGGGUGGCAGACGUUCACUUUGUCACACUGAUACGCAUUUUGAUAAAGUGUGAUAAAGACUUAGAAAAAUUGACAGAUUAAAUUGGAAUAACAGCUUUGGACAUUUGCAUCCUGUAAGCCAGGAGAAGGGGUGAACGUACAGAGAAGCUCCACGGGGUUUCCAGCCUCUCCCUGCAUCACACAACAAAGCAACUCAGGUGCUUUGGGUCCUUCCGUAGGGCUCUUCCAGCUCUGUGGCAGGGUCCAGGUUUAGUGAUGAAGACAUGGAGCCCAGAAGGAAUAAAAACUUCCUGUGGUCAAUGGAACUGGACCAUGUGGUGCUGGAGAGGCCAUCACACUGACUGGCAAGAGAAGACCUGUUUCAUGGUGGUCCACAGAGCAAUUUCCCUGGCUUCACUCAAGGCUAACUCUCCUCCAGCAAAACACCCCUCUUCUCCUCCCACAGAUGAAGCAGAUGAGUGAAACUGAGGCUCCAUAAGGUACUCGUCCAAAAUCAGGCAGAAGCAAUACAGAUGGAUGGAGCUUACAUCAUCAGGAAGUUUGCAAGUUGUUGUGAAGCAGCGGAACUAGAAAUAGUUGGUGAGCAGCUCUGAUGA